rnacentral:misc_RNA from 1 species
GAUGAAGAACGUAGCGAAAUGCGAUAAGUAAUGUGAAUUGCAGAAUUCAGUGAAUCAUCGAAUCUUUGAACGCACCUUGCGCCCUUUGGCUAUUCCAGAGGGCAUGCCUGUUUGAGUAUCAUGAACACCUCAACUCUCAUGGUUCUGCCAUGAUGAGCUUGGACUUUGGAGGUCUUGCUGGCCCCUGUGGUCAGCUCCUCUCAAAUGGAUCAGCUUGCCAGUGUUUGGUGGCAUCACAGGUGUGAUAACCAUCUACGCUUGUGGUUUUCCACCAGGUAACCUUCAGUGAUGGAGGUUCGCUGGAGCUCAUAAACGUCUCUCCUCAGCGAGGACAGCUUCUUGAAUGUUUGAUCUCAAAUCAGGUAGGGCUACCCGCUGAACUUAAGCAUAUCAAUAAGCGGAGGA